GGCUCGUUUGUCAAGCGGUUAAGACGCUACCUUCUCAUGGUAGAAUCAGGAGUUCGAGUCUCUUACGAGUCACCA
rnacentral:tRNA from 1 species